ensembl:processed_transcript mocos molybdenum cofactor sulfurase
AUGGAUACUCGGUCUUUGCAAGACUUUCAGGACUUAUGCACUUUUGAUGUUUUUAAGAGUUUUGGACACUACUACGGGUACGGCGUUGAUCAGCAGGCUCUGAUAGAUCAGGAAUUUAAACGGAUUAAAGGGGUUACAUAUCUCGAUCAUGCAGGGACAACGUUAUUUCCUGAAUCCCUUAUUAAAGGAUUUCAUGAUGAUAUAUCCAGGAAUGUUUAUGGAAAUCCUCACAGUCAUAAUUCCAGCAGUAGACUAACACACGACACUGUGGAAAGUGUCAGAUACAAGAUCCUGGCACAUUUUAAUACAAGUCCUGAAGAUUACUCAGUGAUUUUCACAUCAGGAUGUACUGCAGCACUGAAAUUAGUGGCUGACACCUUUCCCUGGAAGCCCAUGUCAAACAAAGAGCCAGGAAGCCAGUUCUGCUACCUCACUGACAACCACACGUCUGUGGUGGGCAUCCGUGGUGCGACCGCACUUCAGGGAGUUGGCACAAUUUCUGUUUCACCUCGCGAAGUGGAAACAAGAGCAAGAAAAAAGACACAAACAAAUGGAGAAGAGGAGUGCUCUACACCUCAUCUUUUCUGUUAUCCUGCCCAGAGUAACUUCUCUGGCAGGAAGUAUUCACUGAGUUAUGUGAAGGGAAUUCAGUCUCAACAGCUCUAUCCAGCAUGUGAACACCACGGUCAAUGGUUUGUCCUCCUCGAUGCUGCCUGUUUUGUAAGCUGCUCACCUCUGGAUUUAAGCCAGUAUCCUGCUGAUUUUGUGCCAAUAUCUUUCUACAAAAUGUUUGGUUUCCCGACUGGACUCGGAGCCUUGCUGGUGAGGAAUGAGGCUGCUGAGGUAUUGAGAAAAACGUAUUUUGGAGGAGGAACCGCAGCAGCGUAUCUUGUGGAAGAGAACUAUUUCAUACCAAAGCCCAAUUUGGCCAGCAGGUUUGAAGAUGGCACAAUCUCGUUCUUGGACAUCAUUUCUCUUCAUCAUGGUUUUGAAACUCUUCAAAAACUAACAGGAAGUAUGACGAACAUUCAGCUACACACAUUUGGUUUAGCUCGCUACACAUAUACUGUCCUUUCGUGCCUGUGUCACAGCAAUGGAAAACAUGUGGCACAGAUUUACUGUGAUAAUGACUUUCAGAGUAUUGCCGAACAGGGUGCAAUCAUCAACUUUAGCCUGCUAGACUGUCAUGGACGAACAGUAGGAUAUUCUCAGGUGGACAAAAUGGCUAGUCUCUUUAACAUUCAUAUCCGCACAGGCUGUUUCUGCAACACUGGAGCCUGCCAACAUUAUCUGGCUAUCAGCAACCAAAACGUGAAGAGUAAUUUGCAUGCCGGACACAUCUGUGGAGACAACAUUGAUCUGGUUGACGGACGUCCCACAGGAUCCCUCCGUGUGUCUUUCGGGUAUAUGUCCAGUUUUGAGGACUGUCAGAACUUUCUUCGAUUUGUUGUGAACUGUUUUGUAGACAAACCCCUAAUCCUGGACCAAACAAAGCUAGCCAAGCUGAAUUCAGCUGCACCAAUAGAACCGUCAUCGUCUUUUCAUCUGACAUCAAUACCCAGUGACCAACAAAGACAUGCGAAUGGCCAAAUUAACUCCCCUUCACCUGACAGGAUGGCCGUAUCUGAAGUCACCAUGUCAAAAGAUGGAAAGAAGGAUGGCAGCAGCUGUACGCUAACCAAUCUUUUUAUCUUUCCUGUCAAAUCAUGCGCAUCAUUUGAGGUGACAGAGUGGCCACUGGGACCACAGGGUUUGUUAUAUGAUCGUUUGUGGAUGGUUGUGAAUGAGAAUGGAGUGUGUCUCAGCCAGAAAAGGGAGCCAAAACUGUGUCUUAUCCAACCUGUCGUCUGUCUGGCAGCUAACACACUGAAGCUGCAGAUCUCAGGCUCUGAAGCAAUCACUGUUCCCUUGGAUCCCAGUCUAGAAAAGUCAGAUCUGAGAACAUCCCAAAGCAAAGUUUGUGGUGACAGGGUACAGACAGUGGACUGUGGGGAGGAAGUUUCAGCCUGGCUUUCUGAGUUUCUUGGAAAACCUUGUCGUCUUAUAAGGCAAAGACCAGAAUUUUUGCGUGAUAUGAAAUUUGGACAAGGAAAAGGUGACUGUUGUCCUACUCCUCUGUCUCUGGUGAAUGAGGCUCAGUUUCUGCUUAUUAACAGAGCCAGUGUGUGUUUUCUACAAGAAGCCAUUGCCAACAGACAUGACAGUGAUAAUGAAGAGACUUGGAGAGACACAGAGCAGCUUGUUCAGCGUUUCAGGGCCAAUCUUGUCAUCUCUGCACAGGAACCAUUUGCAGAGGAUAACUGGUCUCACCUUACAAUAGGAAACACACAGUUUCAGGUGAUUGGGAAAUGUGGCCGCUGUCAGAUGAUUGGAGUUGAUCAAAAAACAGCCACUAGGACCCAAGAACCCCUUAGGUCUCUUUCUGAAUGCAGAAGUGGAAAGGUGACUUUUGGAGUUUACUUGGCUCACCAAUCAGCAAGGAACUCCACUCACCCUGUUUUAUCUAUAGGCAGUCAUGUUAUUCCAAAGAUAUCUGAUUCGACAGAUAAAUUUUAGAGUUUUUUUUUUGUUUUGUUAGUUUCAUAUCUAAUCGGUGCUUACAGCCUCAUUUUAUAUAUUUUUAAUAAGAGUAUUUUGUUAUAUGUUUGCAUAUCAUUUGCUAUUUAAAAAAAAAACUUUAAACAUUUAACAUGAAUAAUGACUUGCAUAUAAUAGUUGUGAAUUUUAAAAAGGUGUAAUAUAAAUAAACAAAUUCCCAUUAUAACAGUUUAAAACUUUGAUCAUUAAAGUUCCAUAACUGCUGUGAUUAUUAGCUUGAGGAAAUGCGGAAAGUUUCCUGCGCAGAACAUUUCCUCAGUGAUUAUCAUGCAGUCUCCUUGCAGAGGAUGAUUACAUAUUUAGAACAAAUGCAUGUGGGUUUUGUCUAGUUUAAAAAAAAAAAAGCAUGACAUGAAGCAGAGACAUAAAAGUUCUUGUCUCAAAGAUCCAGGCACAAAGAAUUGCAUUGAUAGUCUGCUGUCAGUGGCUCAUAGAAGUUUUAACUUACACUUUAAAGAAAACUAUACACUCACCAGUCACUUUAUUAGGUUAUUAUUAGCGGUUAUUUAAGUUACUGUUGCCUUUCUAUCAGCUUGAACCAGUCUGGCCAUUCUCCUCUGAUCUCUGGCAUACAUUUGCACCUACUGAACGGCCACUCACUGGAUACUUUCUCUUUUUCUGACCAUUCUCUGUAAACUCUAGAAUAUGGUUGUGUGUUAAAAUUCCAUUAGAUCAGCAGUUUCUGAAAUACCAACCCAUCUGGCACCAACAACCAUGCCAUGUUCAAAGUCACUUAAUCACCUUUCUUCCCCAUUCCGAUGAUUGGUUUGAACUGCAGCAGAUCGUUUUGGACAUGUCUACAUGCCUAAAUGCCAUGAGUUGCUGCCAUGUGAUUAGCUGAUAGGAAAUUUGCGCUAACAAGCAGUUGUUCCUAAUAAAGUGGCCAGUAAAUGUAUAUAAAAGUAUACUUAGUCCCUACUGCCUCUGUUGAGACAGACAAGUGCACCAGAUACCUGUACUUAUGUUUAAUGUUUCUUUCUUAUACUCAUGUCUUUCUUGUUUCCUGCAUUAUCAUUUUAUACUACGCAUGUACAAUAUGCACAUGUAGAACAGCAUGUAGUUACAUUAUACUAUAUAUUAAAAAAAGAAACAGAGUUACAGAAAUUACAUAAUGUAUUUUGAUUUUAACAUAUUUUUAAAAUCAUAAAAUAUAUUUUCCUACAGUAGAGCAGACUGGAGAUUGUAAGGCAUCAGUUUGAAGACUUCCAAUUCCUACAAACAGGAUCUAGUUACAAAUGAGUUAAUCAGUUAAUUGACUUCACACAUCAGUCCACAUUCCAAAUCCUGUGACUGACACAGCAGAUGUUAGAUGGAAACUACAUCUAAGCUAACAAAGUCAUACUUUUUAGUUAAAUUAUUUUUGGGAUAGCAAUGCCUGAUUUGUAGUUAAACUCAUCAAAGUUGAAUGAUGUCAUUUGUGUGUCGAUGUUUAUGUUUUUAUUGCAUGUUGUUAGUAACAGUGUUUUAGCUGUUGGCUGUAAAGACAAUAAAUUCUUGGCUACAAUAUACUCAGGCUCAGGGUAAAAAACUCUUGUUUAGUACCAGGGGGGUUGCAAGGGUCGAAAGGGAUAAGGGCCUUAGCCAACCAUAAAUAAAUAAAAAAUAAAUAAAUAAAUUAUAUUUCAUAUCUAGUAA